rnacentral:piRNA from 1 species
UUCAUCCACAGGAGACAGUGCGAACUUGAA